UACGGAGGAUCCGAGCGUUAUCCGGAUUUAUUGGGUUUAAAGGGUGCGUAGGCGGACUGUUAAGUCAGCGGUAAAAGCCCGGGGCUCAACCCCGGCGAGCCGUUGAAACUGUGUCCCUUGAGUGCGCGAAGGGUAGGCGGAAUGCGUGGUGUAGCGGUGAGAUGCAUAGAUAUCACGCAGAACUCCGAUCGCGAAGGCAGCCUACCGGCGCGCUACUGACGCUCAUGCACGAAAGCGUGGGUAUCGAACAGG
rnacentral:rRNA from 1 species